CACGUAGGGUGCGAGCGUUGUCCGGAAUUAUUGGGCGUAAAGAGCUCGUAGGCGGUCUGUCGCGUCUGCUGUGAAAACUCAGUGCUUAACCCUGAGCUUGCAGUGGGUACGGGCAGACUAGAGUGCGGUAGGGGAGACUGGAAUUCCUGGUGUAGCGGUGAAAUGCGCAGAUAUCAGGAGGAACACCGGUGGCGAAGGCGGGUCUCUGGGCCGUAACUGACGCUGAGGAGCGAAAGCAUGGGGAGCGAACAGG
rnacentral:rRNA from 1 species